rnacentral:rRNA from 1 species
UACAGAGGGUGCAAGCGUUGUUCGGAAUUAUUGGGCGUAAAGCGCGUGUAGGCGGCUUUGCAAGUCGGGUGUGAAAUCCCUCAGCUCAACUGAGGAAGUGCGCCCGAAACUGCAGAGCUUGAGUACCGGAGAGGAUGGCGGAAUUCCCCAAGUAGAGGUGAAAUUCGUAGAUAUGGGGAGGAACACCGGUGGCGAAGGCGGCCAUCUGGACGGAUACUGACGCUGAGACGCGAAAGCGUGGGGAGGCAAACAGG